AAGACCUUGCGCUUUUGGAGCGGCCGAUGCCUGAUUAGCUUGUUGGUAAGGUAAAAGCUUACCAAGGCUUCGAUCAGUAGCUGGUCUGAGAGGACGACCAGCCACACUGGGACUGAGACACGGCCCAGACUCCUACGGGAGGCAGCAGUGGGGAAUUUUGGACAAUGGGGGCAACCCUGAUCCAGCCAUGCCGCGUGAGUGAAGAAGGCCUCCGGGUUGUAAAGCUCUUUCAGCCGGAACGAAACGGUUACGGUUAAUACCUGUGAUUACUGACGGUACCGGAAGAAGAAGCACCGGCUAACUACGUGCCAGCAGCCGCGGUAAUACGUAGGGUGCGAGCGUUAAUCGGAAUUACUGGGCGUAAAGCGUGCGCAGGUGGUUUUGUAAGUCAGAUGUGAAAGCCCCGGGCUCAACCUGGGAACU
rnacentral:rRNA from 1 species